GAAGGGCGUUUGGUGGAUGCCUUGGCAGUAAGAGGCGAUGAAGGACGUGAUACUCUGCGAUAAGCUUGGGGGAGCCGAGAAUAGGCUUUGAUCCCAGGAUCUCCGAAUGGGGGAACCCACCUGACAGUUUGUUAUUGUUAGCUUCGCUAUCAAUAAUAAGCUUAAUCAGGUACUUAAAACCUGAAUACAUAGGGUUUUAAGAGCAAACCCGGGGAACUGAAACAUCUAAGUACCCGGAGGAAAGGAAAUCAAUAUGAUACUCCCCUAGUAGCGGCGAGCGAACGGGGACCAGCCGAGCCUUGAGUGUGAAUAGAAUGUGUUGGGAAGCACAGCCAGAGUGGGUGAUAGCCCCGUAUAUGAAGCAUGAUAGGACGUAUUAAGUAGGGCGGGACACGUGAAAUCCUGUCUGAAGAUCGGAGGACCACCUUCGAAGGCUAAGUACUCCUUACUGACCGAUAGCGAACCAGUACCGUGAGGGAAAGGUGAAAAGCACCCCGACGAGGGGAGUGAAACAGUACCUGAAACCGAACGCCUACAAUCAGUUGGAGGCCCCUUGAGGGCUGACAGCGUACCUUUUGUAUAAUGGGUCAUCGACUUGGUCUCACGAGCAAGCUUAAGCCGUUAGGUGUAGGCGCAGCGAAAGCGAGUCUUAAUAGGGCGAAUGAGUUCGUGGGAUCAGACCCGAAACCGAGUGAUCUAGGCAUGGCCAGGUUGAAGGUGCAGUAACAUGCACUGGAGGACCGAACCCACAUCCGUUGAAAAGGAUCGGGAUGAGCUGUGCCUAGGGGUGAAAGGCCAAUCAAACUCGGAGAUAGCUGGUUCUCUGCGAAAUCUAUUUAGGUAGAGCGUCAUCCGAAUACCCCGGGGGGUAGAGCACUGGAUGGGUAAUGGGGCCCCACAGGCUUACUGAUCCUAACCAAACUCCGAAUACCCGGGAGUACUAGAUGGCAGACACACUGCGGAUGCUAACGUCCGUAGUGGAGAGGGAAACAACCCUGACCUACAGCUAAGGCCCCUAAUUCAUGGCUAAGUGGGAAAGCAGGUGGGAUGUCCAAAACAACCAGGAGGUUGGCUUAGAAGCAGCCAUCCUUUAAAGAUAGCGUAACAGCUCACUGGUCUAAAUAAGACGUCCUGCGGCGAAGAUGUAACGGGGCUCAAGCCAUGAGCCGAAGCUUAGGAUGCACAUAGUGCAUGGUAGCAGAGCGUAGUGUGACAUAGCUUCAUGUCUCCUUAGUGUCCAAGGACACAUCGGAGACACGAAGCUUUCGAUGAAGCGGGCGCGUGAGCGAUCCCGUGGAGAGAUCACUAGCGAGAAUGAUGACAUGAGUAGCGACAAAGAGUGUGAGAGACACUCUCGCCGAAAGUCCAAGGGUUCCUGCUUAAAGCUAAUCUGAGCAGGGUAAGCCGGCCCCUAAGGCGAGGCCGAAAGGCGUAGCCGAUGGGAACUAGGUUAAUAUUCCUAGGCCAGGAGGAUG
rnacentral:rRNA from 1 species